rnacentral:rRNA from 1 species
GAUCAAGUGUCUUAAGGGCAAUUGGUGGAUGCCUUGGCAUGCACAGGCGAUGAAGGACGUGAUACGCUGCGAUAAGCUACGGGGAGGUGCGAAUACCCUUCGAUCCGUAGAUUUCCGAAUGGGGAAACCCACCUAAGGUACUUGGAAAAUCAGAGCAGCCAGAAGGUCGCAAGGCCGACUUGCUGCUGUGGUUUCCAAGUAUCAGAUAUAGGUAACUUAUCCUGAAUACAUAGGGAUAAAGUGGCGAACGCGGGGAACUGAAACAUCUAAGUACCCGUAGGAAAGGACAUCAACCGAGACUCCGGAAGUAGUGGCGAGCGAACCCGGACCAGGC